rnacentral:misc_RNA from 1 species
GCAGAGCGUAUGGGUUUAAUAUGUAUGUAU